GUACAUCAGACCACAUUUUAAAUGACAUUGUGUGUUCAUAGGUUUCGGCUGUGGGAGCCGUACCAAUUUACACUUGGCAGAGGGGUACACAAGACUCUCAGUUGUCUGAC